CACUUCGGAAGAGAGGGAAAGGCUGCUGGUGGUGUGAUGACUUGGCUAACAGGAUAUCACAGAGCUCCUGAGUCAAUCCACACUGAGAUGACUGCAUUCUGGCCUUCAGUCAGGUUCCAGGUUGUCAGUCUUGGCAGCAAUUGCCUUUGUUCAGUGAACCAUCUCAUCUGAGCAUUCUCUAACGUUUGACUAUUGAUAGAAUGUGAUCAGUUGCCUCAAGUUCCUGUGGCUGUGACUUCCCCACUAGGAUGCGCUGCAACUUCAAACGCUCAGGCACAGCCCUGGAAGAGAGCUCAGUGAGACACCGCUCAGUCGCUGUUUCCCCUGAUUGAAACACCACCUCCUGGCUGAGAAGAAGAGUAUAAAACUGGGGGAGUGAAGGAAACUCACAAGGCUCAAGGAGUACACAGAACUGCAAGGCUCCGGAAGCUUUCCCAGCUCAGCAUAUUCACAAGACCCUUCCCCCACCCCGAGGGUGGAGGGUGGGGUGGAGAUGGGAUGGGGGGUGGGGAGG
rnacentral:lncRNA from 1 species